AGAGUUUGAUCCUGGCUCAGGAUGAACGCUGGCGGCGUGCCUAACACAUGCAAGUCGAACGAAGUAUAUAUAGGAAGUCUUCGGAUGGAAUAUGUAUAACUUAGUGGCGGACGGGUGAGUAACGCGUAAGUAAUCAACCUGUGACACACGGAUAACUGAUAGAAAUGUCAGCUAAUACGAGAUGAACUGUUUAAAUUGGGAAAUGGAAACAGCAAAGCGAAAGCGGUCACAGACGAGCUUGCGUCUGAUUAGCUAGUUGGUGGGGUAAGAGCCUACCAAGGCGACGAUCAGUAGCCGGCCUGAGAGGGUGAACGGCCACAUUGGAACUGAGACACGGUCCAAACUCCUACGGGAGGCAGCAGUGGGGGAUAUUGCACAAUGGGGGGAACCCUGAUGCAGCAACGCCGCGUGAGUGAAGAAGGCCCUAGGGUCGUAAAGCUCUGUCGUAUGGGAAGAAACAAAUGACUGUACCAUACAAGAAAGCCCCGGCUAACUACGUGCCAGCAGCCGCGGUAAUACGUAGGGGGCAAGCGUUAUCCGGAAUUACUGGGCGUAAAGGGUGCGUAGGCGGCUAGUUAAGUCGAGGUUAAAAGGCAGUGGCUCAACUACUGUUGGGCCUUGAAACUAAUUAGCUUGAGUAUAGGAGAGGAAAGUGGAAUUCCCGGUGUAGCGGUGAAAUGCGUAGAUAUCGGGAGGAAUACCGGUGGCGAAGGCGACUUUCUGGACUAUAACUGACGCUGAGGCACGAAAGCGUGGGUAGCAAACAGGAUUAGAUACCCUGGUAGUCCACGCCGUAAACG
rnacentral:rRNA from 1 species